GGGUUAGUAUGUUGGUCAUGCCUCUGGUAUGUACUGGUCUCACUGAUUUCUCCUUCCUGAUGAACCUUGAUGCCAUUAAUUUGGUGUUUUGGAGAAUUUGGACUGUUACUUUGAAAAAAUUAGAGUGUUUAAAGCAGGCUAACGCUUGAAUACAUUAGCAUGGAAUAAUGAAAUAGGACGUUCGAUCCUAUUUUGUUGGUUUCUAGGAUUGACGUA
rnacentral:rRNA from 1 species